UACGUAGGGUCUGAGCGUUGUCCGGAAUUACUGGGCGUAAAGCGCGCGCAGGCGGCCCGCGAGGUGUCACGUGAAAGCCCCGGGCUCAACCCGGGAGGGUCGUGGCAAACCGGCGGGCUUGAGGCCGGUAGAGGUGGGUGGAACUCCUGGUGGAGUGGUGAAAUGCGUAGAGAUCAGGAAGAACACCCGUGGCGAAGGCGGCCCACUGGGCCGGUACUGACGCUGAGGCGCGAAAGCUCGGGGAGCGAACGGG
rnacentral:rRNA from 1 species